UAAUUUGAGAGUUUGAUCCUGGCUCAGGACGAACGCUGGCGGCGUGCCUAAUACAUGCAAGUCGAACGAACUCUGGUAUUGAUUGGUGCUUGCAUCAUGAUUUACAUUUG
rnacentral:rRNA from 1 species